CUUUGGCCCGCUUUCUCCUGCUUUCUAGUGUCCUAGGUAUUAGAGAUGUAAUUGAUCCUUCGUUCACUCAGUUUAGUUUUGAUUUCAUAAGUUGCAUACUCCAAUUUACUAUCUAGCUAGGUAUAUUGAUUAAGAGAGGAUCUUCCUGCAACAAAUGGUCCCGUAAGUCUUCAAAAUAUUAUUUCUUAAUUAUUUUCUGGUAUGACAUUUUCUCCCCCGUUUGCCAAUUUUCUUCAGUCUUCGUAUCAUGUUCAGUUCGAAGUUCUCGUAUUGAUAUUCAAUGUUAUCUUCACUCUUUGAAGUUGUAAAAAUAUUGACUCUUUGCCUAGGCUUGAGUGAAUUUAUUCUAUUUCGACCUUAAUAAGACAUACAUAUUUUCUUAUUUUCUAACUUUUUUAUUUUAUUUUGAAACAAACUUCAUGCUUUCGUGAUUCAUUUUUUUUUUUGCAUUCACAUGUUUACAUUUACCAUAUGAGAUAUCAUAGUUUGAUCCUUAUGAGUAUCGUUUUUUAUUCUUGUGGAGUAUGUAAAUUAGUAUAUUUGAAUCACUAGUCUUAAUAAGUAUAUCUAGUCAUUACUUCCUACAGUUAUCUUCUUAAAUAUUUGUUAGAUUCAUUAUAUUCAUCUUUAUGAUGCUUCAAAUAUAUCGCUUAUCAUUGCCUAUAAAUUUCCAACAAUCAACAAGUUAUCUCGUAUAGUUUACACUUUUCUUAAAUUUUCAAUUUUUCUAAUUUAUCCUGUUUUAGUUAUGUUAACCUUUUUCAAUUAAAUAUUUUCCGCGUUUCUUGCCUUAAAUGCCCUCGUACGCCCCUGAAGCCUGAACACCAUCCUAUCGCUUUCCAAAAUAGAGCUUACCAUCACGUGAAGUGCAGAAUAUAGUGACACUCAAUGGUAUCUGAGGAUUUUGCUUUCAUGUGUUAAGCCAAAUUUUAGGGUUUAAAUUUGUAUCAUCUACUAGUAGAUAUGUUACUCCUUUUCGUACAAUUCUCUUAAAAAAAGACAUACUUUUCUUGGUAAUAUCUUAAAUCUAUCAGACUAUGCAGUCUAAGUUUUAACAGUGCAUGAAUAAUGCACUUGCUAGUUAAAGCAGGACUUUCUGGUUGAUGCUUAUAGCUCCUAUUCAGUAUUUAAUCUUUGCUCGUUUUAUCCCAUUCUAUCAAGGCAUCUGGAAUAGCUGCUCUUGAUGUAAAAAUAAAUAAAUAAAUAAAAAAUAAAUAAAUAAAAACUCAAAGAUGCUGCUCUCUGCACUGUGGAGUCUGUUGCAUAUUCACCAAGAAAAGAUCUACUACAAAAGGAAAUAGCGAGGCGAAAGUUGACAAAAUCAUUGAAGCAGGUAUGGUUUCCCUCCCAAUAAUAAUAAUAAUAAUAAUAACCAAAAUGUCUAUCAACAAGUUCUUAUAGAACAUUAAAUAGAAAAUGUCUUCUACAGCCUCAAAGCCUGUUCGAUCAGGCUUUACCAGUGCUAGCCAUCUUAUUGCACAAAGGCUUUACAUCAUCCAAAAUGCAAAUCACUUUUGGGUCAAAAGAACUUGAUAAGAUAUUGAAUGGCAAACUCUACUCCAUGCAUUGAGGAUUAAAAAAGAUAUAGGCUACUAAAUGUAUAAUCAUUUAUUAACCUGAGUUUUUUCUCUGGUCAGGACAGAUUGAAACUGGAUCUGUUACUGAAAUAUGGUAAAUUUCGCUCUGGAAAGACUCAGGUGUGUCACACACUCUGCGUCACUUGUCAAGUGGUGGUGAAGGGAAAACCAUGUACAUUGAUGCAGAGGAUACUUUCGGACUGCAAAGACUCUUAUAGAUCGCAGACGGAUUUGGACUAAAUGGUGCUGAAGUUCUGGAGAAUGUGACUUAUGCUAGAGCCUAUAAUACUGAUCAUAAAUCAAGGCUUUUGCUGGAAGCAGCUUCAAUGAUGGUUUUGUAAAGUAAUAAGUUCUCCAUGCUCAGCAGAAGCUGACACAAGGUUUCAAAUUUCUUCUGAAGGUGUACCAGAUGUGAAGGAUUAAUAUAUCUGAUUCAAGCUAAGCUUGUUGCCUGAUUAUUGCGUCGGUUGCUGCUUGAUGCCCUUGUAGCUUCCAGAUGUCACAAGCUUGGGUGCAAUUCAUAAAUGUGAAAACAGUUGUCUUCUUUUCCUUUAAUAGUAUCUAUAGACUAUAACUUUGUUCUUGUAAUUUCUGUACGCACGAACAUUUUGAAACUACAGCAAGAUCAGGGAUGUUCUCUUCAA